rnacentral:rRNA from 1 species
GACGAACCAAGCGAACGUUAUUCGGAAUUACUGGGCUUAAAGCGCGUGUAGGCGGACUGCCACGUCGGUUGUUGAAAUCCCCCGGCUUAACCGGGAAACAGGUUCCGAUACGAGUAGUCUUGAGGUGGGUAGGGGAGACUGGAACUUCCGGGGGAGCGGGGAAAUGCGUUGAGAUCGGAAGGAACGCCCGGGGCGAAGGCGAGUCUCUGGCCCCAUACUGACGCUGAGACGCGAAAGCCGGGGAAGCAAACGGAAUUAAAUACCCGGGAAGCCCUGGCUGAAAACAUUGGGCACUGGCGAGUAGAACCGCGGAUGGUUUUACUGCCGCAGGGAAACCGUGAAGCGCCCCGGCUGAGGAGUAUGGUCGCAAGGCUGAUCCUCAGAGGAGUUGACGGGGGCUCACACAAGCGGAGGAGGAUGUGGCUUACUUCGAGGCUACGCGAAGAACCUCACCUAGGGUUGACACGCAAGGCUUAGCCGGCGGAAACCUCGGUGACGCCGCAAGUCGGAGCUUGCACAGGUCAUGCAUGGCGGUCGUCACCUCGUUCCGUGAGGUGUUGGGUUAAGUCCCGUAACGAGCGAAACCCCUGUGUCCAGCUGCCAGCGCGUAAAGGCGGGGUCUCUGGACAGACCCCCGGUGUUAAUCCGGAGGAAGGCGGGGACGUCGUCAAGUCAUCAUGGCCGUUAUGCCUAGGGCUGCACACGUCCUACAAUGGGCCGGACAAAGCGACGCAAGACCGCGAGGCGGAGCAAAUCGCAAAAACCGUCCCCCAGUUCAGAUUGCACUCUGCAAUUCGAGUGCAUGAAGUUGGAAUUGCUAGUAAUCGCGGAUCAGCCCUGCCGCGGUGAAUGUGUUCCUGAGCCU